rnacentral:misc_RNA from 1 species
GAGAGAGAGAGAGAGGUGUUGGAUCAACCAAUUAAUGCUCUGAAGUUCAUCAUUUGAAUGUUGAUUGGUUAAUUGACGGAAAGUAGAAACCUAGAAAUUAAUAUGCUCUUAUUUGUCCCUGUUUAAUUUGGUAUAAUGCUAUUUAGUGGGUCAUGAUAAUUUCACUUUCAGCAGUCUCUCUAAUCCAAUAUGAAGACAAGAAGCAACGCCACAAGGGUUACAAACACGAGAAAACAACCAAAACGUCAAAAUAUUCGACAAUGGUUAAGUAAUUCACCUAGUAAUGUUGUUGUCCUUUGUAAAUGCCGACUCUUUCUUAAUUCCAUUGCAGCUAUCCUGAGCGUUUUGGAUUCAUAUAUACCAGAAGUUUCUCUCAAUCUGUCUUCUGCCAACUUCGAUUCAACGUCCCAAAUAACGAACUAAAUAAGUACCUUUCUUUUUGAGAAAAAAAA